GCCUUCGUGGUGUAGUGGUCAGCACGCAGCGCGUAUUCGAGAGGUCCGUGGUUCGAGUCCCGGCGAGGGCA
rnacentral:tRNA from 1 species